rnacentral:tRNA from 1 species
AGUUAAUGAACUUGAAUAAGUAUAUGAUUUGAAAUCAUUCCAUAGAAAUAAAAUUUUCUAUUAACUU